AUGAGAGGGAGGGGAGUCAGAUUUACUGUAUGGGAUGCGUUUAGCUAGGCCUUUAGGACCAAAACAGAAUCAAGCUAAGGGGAGAGAGAUAAUACCAGGAUCAAAUUGGUUCCAACUCUUCCUUGUUCAAACAUGAAAAAAAAAACUUCACCCGAGUCAAACUACUCCGUCGCGCCAGAAAUCGUCUCCGGCGGCGGAGAUCCAAACCUUCCAAACCAUACAUCAACUUGCUCGUAGCUCAUCCCUCUUCCAUAAUCCCCUAUCCAUUUUCUCUAAUUCCUAAUAAAUCUCCAAAACUGAAAUGAAACAUACAUGAACCCUAAAUUACGAAUUCCAAAAUUAAACGCAUCAAUGGAGGAAUCAAAGCCUAUCAUGUUAGGGCUUUGAUUCCUCAGGUCGAACCUCACAUGGUGGCAACAUGAAUUAACAAAAAUAGAUGACAAAAAGCUUACCUACAAGACGUCGACUUUUCCUAGUGUUCUCUGUGAUGAAGAAGAUGAUGAUAAAGCAAAAACCAGAGAAGCUUCACAGAGGGAAAACUUGGUUAUGGUUGGAUGAUGGAUGAGGAAAACUUAGUCAUGAGCAACCUUGACUUUGUCGCAUGAGACUUAAACAUAGGCAAACUUGGCAUGAUUCACCUUGAAGAAGAUUAGUGGCUUGGAGAUAAAGAUGGAAGCCAUGAAGAUGAAGAAAGGAAUAGGUCUAGGGUUUAGGAUUAGUGGUUGACUUUGGUCAACUGUUUGACCAAAAAGUCAAUAGUUGACCAAAGUCAACUGUAGGUUAAAAAGUGUAGUUUUUUGUAGGUUUUGAUUUUGUAUCUUUUGUGAUGUAAUAUGGAUCUUGAUGACUUGUAAUAAUAUAGCCUCUUUUCAAAUAAACUUGAAUUUCUUUUCCUCCAA